UACGUAGGGUGCGAGCGUUGUCCGGAAUUACUGGCGUAAAGAGCUCGUAGGUGGUUUGUCGCGUUGUUCGUGAAAACUCACAGCUUAACUGUGGGCGUGCGGGCGAUACGGGCAGACUGGAGUACUGCAGGGGAGACUGGAAUUCCUGGUGUAGCGGUGGAAUGCGCAGAUAUCAGGAGGAACACCGGUGGCGAAGGCGGGUCUCGUGGGCAGUGAACUGACGCUGAGGAGCGAAAGCGUGGGGAGCGAACAGG
rnacentral:rRNA from 1 species